rnacentral:rRNA from 1 species
AUUGAACGCUGGCGGCAGGCCUAACACAUGCAAGUCGAACGGCAACACCCUGAUGUUUUGUUCUUAGCGGAUGGGGGACGGGUGGGUGAGACGUGUGUAACCUACUCUACGUUUUCGGGGGAGAUCACGUAGCGAGGGUUACUACAAUAUCGUAUCCCCCCUAGCGUGGAGAGGGGGGGAUCUUCGCGUCUUGCGGGGAUGGAUGCGCCGCUGUGGGAUUUGCUGGUGGGGGGGGUAAAGGCCCACCCAGGCGACGAUCCGUAGCUGGUGUGAGAGGAUGAUCAGCCACACUGGAACGGAGACACGGUCCAGAGUCCUACGGGAGGCAGCAGUGGGGAAUAGUGGACAAUGGGCGGAAGCCUGAUCCAGCCAGGCCGCGUGGGUGAAGAAGGCCUUCGGGUUGUAAAGCCCUUUUGUUGGGAAAGAAAAGCAUCAGGUUAAUACCCAGGCGUUCUGACGGUACCCGAAGAAUAAGCACCGGCUAACUUCGUG